UCGUAGACCCGAAACCAGGUGAUCUACCCUUGGUCAGGUUGAAGUUCAGGUAACACUGAAUGGAGGACCGAACCGACUUACGUUGAAAAGUGAGCGGAUGAACUGAGGGUAGCGGAGAAAUUCCAAUCGAACCUGGAGAUAGCUGGUUCUCUCCGAAAUAGCUUUAGGGCUAGCCUCAAGUGAUGAUUAUUGGAGGUAGAGCACUGUUUGGACGAGGGGCCCCUCUCGGGUUACCGAAUUCAGACAAACUCCGAAUGCCAAUUAAUUUAACUUGGGAGUCAGAACAUGGGUGAUAAGGUCCGUGUUCGAAAGGGAAACAGCCCAGACCACCAGCUAAGGUCCCAAAAUAUAUGUUAAGUGGAAAAGGAUGUGGCGUUGCCCAGACAACUAGGAUGUUGGCUUAGAAGCAGCCAUCAUUUAAAGAGUGCGUAAUAGCUCACUAGUCGAGUGACACUGCGCCGAAAAUGUACCGGGGCUAAACAUAUUACCGAAGCUGUGGAUUGUCCUUUGGACAAUGGUAGGAGAGCGUUCUAAGGGCGUUGAAGCAUGAUCGUAAGGACAUGUGGAGCGCUUAGAAGUGAGAAUGCCGGUGUGAGUAGCGAAAGACGGGUGAGAAUCCCGUCCACCGAUUGACUAAGGUUUCCAGAGGAAGGCUCGUCCGCUCUGGGUUAGUCGGGUCCUAAGCUGAGGCCGACAGGCGUAGGCGAUGGAUAACAGGUUGAUAUUCCUGUACCACCUAUAAUCGUUUUAAUCGAUGGGGGGACGCAGUAGGAUAGGCGAAGCGUGCGAUUGGAUUGCACGUCUAAGCAGUAAGGCUGAGUAUUAGGCAAAUCCGGUACUCGUUAAGGCUGAGCUGUGAUGGGGAGAAGACAUUGAGUCUUCGAGUCGUUGAUUUCACACUGCCGAGAAAAGCCUCUAGAUAGAAAAUAGGUGCCCGUACCGCAAACCGACACAGGUAGUCAAGAUGAGAAUUCUAAGGUGAGCGAGCGAACUCUCGUUAAGGAACUCGGCAAAAUGACCCCGUAACUUCGGGAGAAGGGGUGCUCUUUAGGGUUAACGCCCAGAAGAGCCGCAGUGAAUAGGCCCAAGCGACUGUUUAUCAAAAACACAGGUCUCUGCUAAACCGUAAGGUGAUGUAUAGGGGCUGACGCCUGCCCGGUGCUGGAAGGUUAAGAGGAGUGGUUAGCUUCUGCGAAGCUACGAAUCGAAGCCCCAGUAAACGGCGGCCGUAACUAUAACGGUCCUAAGGUAGCGAAAUUCCUUGUCGGGUAAGUUCCGACCCGCACGAAAGGCGUAACGAUUUGGGCACUGUCUCAACGAGAGACUCGGUGAAAUCAUAGUACCUGUGAAGAUGCAGGUUACCCGCGACAGGACGGAAAGACCCCGUGGAGCUUUACUGUAGCCUGAUAUUGAAAUUCGGCACAGCUUGUACAGGAUAGGUAGGAGCCUUUGAAACGUGAGCGCUAGCUUACGUGGAGGCGCUGGUGGGAUACUACCCUAGCUGUGUUGGCUUUCUAACCCGCACCACUUAUCGUGGUGGGAGACAGUGUCAGGCGGGCAGUUUGACUGGGGCGGUCGCCUCCUAAAAGGUAACGGAGGCGCUCAAAGGUUCCCUCAGAAUGGUUGGAAAUCAUUCAUAGAGUGUAAAGGCAUAAGGGAGCUUGACUGCGAGACCUACAAGUCGAGCAGGGUCGAAAGACGGACUUAGUGAUCCGGUGGUUCCGCAUGGAAGGGCCAUCGCUCAACGGAUAAAAGCUACCCCGGGGAUAACAGGCUUAUCUCCCCCAAGAGUUCACAUCGACGGGGAGGUUUGGCACCUCGAUGUCGGCUCAUCGCAUCCUGGGGCUGUAGUCGGUCCCAAGGGUUGGGCUGUUCGCCCAUUAAAGCGGUACGCGAGCUGGGUUCAGAACGUCGUGAGACAGUUCGGUCCCUAUCCGUCGUGGGCGUAGGAAAUUUGAGAGGAGCUGUCCUUAGUACGAGAGGACCGGGAUGGACAUACCUCUGGUGUACCAGUUGUCGUGCCAACGGCAUAGCUGGGUAGCUAUGUGUGGACGGGAUAAGUGCUGAAAGCAUCUAAGCAUGAAGCCCCCCUCAAGAUGAGAUUUCCCAACUUCGGUUAUAAGAUCCCUCAAAGAUGAUGAGGUUAAUAGGUUCGAGGUGGAAGCAUGGUGACAUGUGGAGCUGACGAAUACUAAUCGAUCGAAGACUUAAUCAA
rnacentral:rRNA from 1 species